rnacentral:rRNA from 1 species
UGGGGAAUAUUGCGCAAUGGGGGAAACCCUGACGCAGCAACGCCGCGUGAUUGAAGAAGGCCUUCGGGUUGUAAAGAUCUUUAAUUGGGGACGAAACAAAUGACGGUACCCAAAGAAUAAGCUCCGGCUAACUACGUGCCAGCAGCCGCGGUAAUACGUAGGGAGCGAGCGUUAUCCGGAUUUACUGGGUGUAAAGGGCGAGUAGGCGGGACGGCAAGUUGGGAGUGAAAUCUGGGGGCUUAACCCCCAAACUGCUUUCAAAACUGCUGUUCUUGAGUGAUGGAGAGGCAGGCGGAAUUCCCAGUGUAGCGGUGAAAUGCGUAGAUAUUGGGAGGAACACCAGUGGCGAAGGCGGCCUGCUGGACAUUAACUGACGCUGAGGAGCGAAAGCGUGGGGAGC